AACAUCGCGCACCUGCGGGAACCUGCGGAGGGAUCAUUACAGAGUGUAAAAACUCCCAAAACCCAUGUGAACAUACCUUUUUGUUGCUUCGGCGGGAUCGCCCCGGGCGCCUUGUGUGCCCCGGAGUCAGGCGCCCGCCGGGGGACCCAAACUCUUGUUUUUAACGAGUAUCUUCUGAGUAACGUUUUUAAAUAAAUAAAAACUUUUAACAAUGGAUCU
rnacentral:misc_RNA from 1 species